rnacentral:rRNA from 1 species
CCUACGGGAGGCAGCAGUAGGGAAUCUUCCACAAUGGGCGAAAGCCUGAUGGAGCAACGCCGCGUGGGUGAAGAAGGUCUUCGGAUCGUAAAACCCUGUUGUUAGAGAAGAAAGUGCGUGAGAGUAACUGUUCACGUUUCGACGGUAUCUAACCAGAAAGCCACGGCUAAGUACGUGCCAGCAGCCGCGGUAAUACGUAGGUGGCAAGCGUUAUCCGGAGUGAAUGGGCGUAAAGGGAACGCAGGCGGUCUUUUAAGUCUGAUGGGAAAGCCUUCGGCUUAACCGGAGUAGUGCAUUGGAAACUGGGAGACUUGAGUGCAGAAGAGGAGAGUGGAACUCCAUGUGUAGCGGUGAAAUGCGUAGAUAUAUGGAAGAACACCAGUGGCGAAAGCGGCUCUCUGGUCUGUAACUGACGCUGAGGUUCGAAAGCGUGGGUAGCAAACAGGAUUAGAUACCCCGGUAGUC